GACGGCUAAGAUUUAGAGUUUCCAUGUCAACUAACUCACUCACAAAACGUUGACCAUAUAUAUACAUGAUAAUACUAUAUAUGUAAAUAUGUAAUACUGCAAAGAAGCUUUUUAAGGCUCGGCUCCAAAUGAUUUUUAGCAGAGAGCCGUCAAUAUGGUAUGUGUGCAAGCAUGUUUUUUUUGACUAUAUUACUAUGUUUUUAUUAUUUAACUAUUUUUGCCUUCAACUUCAC
rnacentral:lncRNA from 1 species